CAGCGGCUGCACCUGAAAGUGUUUGAAUGGAAUUUAGAAAAGGGGGGGGGGGGGGGGGUUUUGUUUGGGGGGCCCCUCCGUAAACCUCUCCUCAGUUCAGAUUGCAGGCUGCAACUCGCCUGCAUGAAGGAGGAAUCGCUAGUAAUCGCAGGUCAGCAUACUGCGGUGAAUCCGUUCCCGGGCCUUGUACACACCGCCCGUCACACCAUGGAAGUUAGCCACGCCCGAAGUCGUUACUCUAACCGUUCGCGGAGGAGGAUGCCGAAGGCAGGGCUGAUGACUGGGGUGAAGUCGUAACAAGGUAGCCGUACCGGAAGGUGUGGCUGGAUCACCUCCUUUUUAGGGAGACCUACUUCAGGACAUCGUGCGAUGAUAAUAAUAGCCGAGUCUUGAGGUCAUCCUUAGGUCGGAUGGGGCGGUCAGAGAGCUUUCAAACUUUAGGGUUCGUGUUAUGGGCUAUUAGCUCAGGUGGUUAGAGCGCACCCCUGAUAAGGGUGAGGUCCCUGGUUCAAGUCCAGGAUAGCCCACAUCCACCCCAAACUGGGGGUAUAGCUCAGUUGGUAGAGCGCUGCCUUGCACGAA
rnacentral:sRNA from 1 species